rnacentral:rRNA from 1 species
AGAUCCUGCCAGUAUAGGUUAGCAUUCCCGCCACUCAUCGGUCAAAGUACUGCGACGACGGCUGCUAUAAAAUCGGCGUUGAUGACUCCACAUGAGGGACAGCACUCACCCGUGGAUAAUCGUGCGUGUACACUCCGGUGCUAAUACAUGCAUACAAUGGCUCCGAACCCGGCCAGUCAAACGCUGGGGAAGGGCGCACUUAUAAGGCGGAAAACCAAUCGCUCGCCUCGCGGGCGUUGGUGGACGUACACCCCAGAGAUAAUCGCCGCCGAUCGCACGGACCUCGACGCCGGCGACACCUUCACUGAGUCGUCUGAUCUAUCAUGCUGACGACGGUUGGUGCUAUGCCAACCGUGGCGUUUAACGGAUAACAGGAGAAUCUGGGUUCGAUCUCUGGAGAGGCCGCAUGAGAAACGGCGACCACUUCUAAGGAAGGCAGCAGGCACGCAAAUUACCCACUUGCGGACACCGAGAAGGUAGUUGACGAACAAUACCGAUGCGGCGCACACAUGUGCCGCCGUAAUCGGAAUGAGUACACUUCAAAUCCUUUAACGAGGAUCCACUGGAGGGCAAGCCUGGUGCCAGCAGCCGCGGUAAUUCCAGCUCCAGCAGCGUAUAUUUAUAUUGCUGCGUUUUAAAAAGCUCGUAGUUGAAGCGUCAGAACGCGGGAGGGCGGACGGCCGCAUUGGUCAGUCGCGCCCGACCGAGCCAGGCGCAGAAAUGGCGCGCGUCGCUUGCACUUCACCGUGUGAGCGCGCCGCCGCUGCACGUUCACCUUGAAAGAAAUUGAACCGCUUAGAAGGGGGCGAGCAGCUUGGACAGCUCAGCAUGGUAUGAUGGAACAUGGGCUCGUACUCAUUUUGUUGGUUAGAGAGUUGGCGAGCCAAUGAUUAACAGGGACUGCCGGGGGCAUUCGUACUCGGACGGGAGAGGUGAAAUUCAAGGAUCGUCCGAAGACGCCCUACUGCGAAAGCAUUUGCCAAGAAUGUUUUCAUUAAUCAAGAACGAAAGUCAGAGGUGCGAAGGCGAUCAGAUACCGCCGUAGUUCUGACCGUAAACGAUGCCGACUGGCAAUUGGGCGCACUUCUAUAGAAGUUGCUGCCAGCAGUAUUGCCCGGGAAACCAAAGUCAUUGGGUUCCGGGGGGAGUAUGGUUGCAAAGCUGAAACUUAAAGGAAUUGACGGAAGGGCACCACCAGGAGAUGGAGCCUGCGGCAUUAAUUUGACUCAACACGGGAAACCUCACCCGGCCCGAACACUGUUAUGACAGACAGGUUGAGAGCUCUUUCUCGAUUCAGUGGUUGGUGGUGCAUGGCCGUUCUUAGUUCGUGGAGCGAUCUGUCUGGUUAAUUCCGAUAACGAACGAGACUCUUGCCUGCUAAAUAGACGGCGCCGCCUCGCACGGCGACCGUUCGCUUCUUAGAGGGACAAGCGGCUUUUAGCCGCGUGAAGCCGAGAGCAAUAACAGGUCAGUGAUGCCCUCAGAUGUUCGGGGCCGCACGCGCGCUACACUGUUUGCAUCAGCGUGUUUCUCCCGCGCCGGCUGGCGUGGGCAACCCGUUGAACCGCAAACGUGCUAGGGAUCGGAGAUUGCAAUUGUUCUCCGUGAACGAGGAAUUCCUUGUACUGGCGAGUCAUCAGCUCGCGGGGAAUCUGUCCCUGCCCUUUGUACACACCGCCCGUCGCUACUACCGAUUGAGUGGUUUAGUGAGGCUCACGGACAGCGCGCGA